rnacentral:rRNA from 1 species
GAUGAACGCUAGCGGCAGGCUUAAUACAUGCAAGUCGAGGGGCAGCACGGGUAGCAAUACCUGGUGGCGACCGGCAAACGGGUGCGGAACACGUACGCAACCUUCCCAUAACUGGUGAAUAGCCCUCCGAAAGGAGGAUUAAUACACCGUAACUUAACGAAGUGGCAUCACUUUGUUAAUAUAGGCUUCGGCCGGUUUUGGAUGGGCGUGCGCCUGAUUAGGUAGUUGGCGGGGUAACGGCCCACCAAGCCUGCGAUCAGUAACUGGUGUGAGAGCACGACCAGUCACACGGGCACUGAGACACGGGCCCGACUCCUACGGGAGGCAGCAGUAAGGAAUAUUGGUCAAUGGACGAAAGUCUGAACCAGCCAUGCCGCGUGAAGGAUUAAGGCCCUCUGGGUUGUAAACUUCUUUUAUCUGGGACGAAAAAAGGGUAUUCUUACUCACUUGACGGUACCAGAGGAAUAAGCACCGGCUAACUCCGUGCCAGCAGCCGCGGUAAAGU